GACAGUAUGGUGUAGUGGUUUGAACGUUGGACUACAACACAAGAGACCGGGUUUCAAUUCCCCACUUGGCCA